rnacentral:misc_RNA from 1 species
AAGUCGUAACAAGGUUUCCGUAGGUGAACCUGCGGAAGGAUCAUUACCGAGUAAGGGCCUCCUCCGGGAGGCCCGACCUCCCAACCCCGUGUCUAAUAAACCUGUUUGUGUUGCUUCGGCGGAACGGCAGUGGUCAGACCCCUCCCCUCACCGGGAGGCGGACGACCGUCCGUCGCCGGGGGGCCCACGGUCUCACGACCGCCCCUGGAGAGCGUCCGCCGAUGGCCCCCAACCAAAACAACUACCAAACCCAAAUUGUGAAAAUAAAUAUAUUCUGAAUCAGAUUUUGAUAUACCAAUCAAAAACAAAA